GUUAGUGGCGGACGGGUGAGUAACACGUGGGAACGUGCCUUUAGGUUCGGAAUAACUCAGGGAAACUUGUGCUAAUACCGAAUGUGCCCUUCGGGGGAAAGAUUUAUCGCCUUUAGAGCGGCCCGCGUCUGAUUAGCUAGUUGGUGAGGUAAAGGCUCACCAAGGCGACGAUCAGUAGCUGGUCUGAGAGGAUGAUCAGCCACAUUGGGACUGAGACACGGCCCAAACUCCUACGGGAGGCAGCAGUGGGGAAUCUUGCGCAAUGGGCGAAAGCCUGACGCAGCCAUGCCGCGUGAAUGAUGAAGGUCUUAGGAUUGUAAAAUUCUUUCACCGGGGACGAUAAUGACGGUACCCGGAGAAGAAGCCCCGGCUAACUUCGUGCCAGCAGCCGCGGUAAUACGAAGGGGGCUAGCGUUGCUCGGAAUUACUGGGCGUAAAGGGAGCGUAGGCGGACAUUUAAGUCAGGGGUGAAAUCCCGGGGCUCAACCUCGGAAUUGCCUUUGAUACUGGGUGUCUUGAGUAUGAGAGAGGUAUGUGGAACUCCGAGUGUAGAGGUGAAAUUCGUAGAUAUUCGGAAGAACACCAGUGGCGAAGGCGACAUACUGGCUCAUUACUGACGCUG
rnacentral:rRNA from 1 species